GUGUCUAAUGAUUGUGAGUGCGGUAGCAGACGGAUAAUUGCAUUGACCACAGCGGACGGGAAUAGUAGACACCUGUUGCCCCUCACUAGUAAGCAAGAGAAACACAAAGUUCCAGGGCCAGAGGAGGAGCCAGAUGCAGACACGCCCGGAGCCGACCAACUACCCAAGGAUGAUGCAAUCAAAUUUCAGCAGGGUUUGAAUCAGUCCUGUUUUGGUGGUCCGCUAUUAACAAAAAUGUUGAUUGGAUAAAUAAUAUAUACUAUGAUCAGCAACGGUUUGUCAAUUUUUUCCACGGAUAAGGUCAAGGGACUAUAUAGAUAUAGAUAUGCUAUUGGCAGAGCAAGGAGGGGUGUGUGGGAUGAUAAGGACGACAUGUUGUACUUUUAUCCCCAAUAACACAGUACGGAUGGGUCGGUGGCCAGG
ensembl:lncRNA